UUCAGUGUGUGGUUAUCCCUAACAUGUCUCUCUCUGUGUGUUCUCCAGCUGACAUCCUCCUCUUCGCUGUGCCUCCCGUCUACGAGAAGAACAAGACCCAGAUUGAUCAGUACAUCGACCUGGUCCGCACUCAAGUCAACACCACGAUGGCCAAGUUGCAAGAGAAGCUUCCGGGAGCUGUGAAGCGCAGCAAAACUGAAUGAUCAACCCACCAAUUAGAAACCUCCAUGUCACCAUCAUCCUCAUUACCAACAUCAUCUUAGACCCCCCCUCCCUGUACCUCCCCCCCCAGUCUAACUCCUCCUCCAUCAACCAUCACCCCCUACUACACUGAACCUUGCUAAGUAGAAAAUAUCUCUGAGCUACUACUACUGAAUACUCUAUGCUAAACUACUGCGCAGCUUAAUUUGCAAGCAUUAAAAAGAACUGUGCCUGUGCAGACAGGAAGCGAGGAAGUGAUGUAGCGCCCGGCGGACCCCCCCGUCUGUGGGCAAUGCGGGCAGGGUCGAGUGAACUAGACUGAAUCUAUGACCUGGUUUUGUCGUGCACAGCGAGCAGGGGGAGGAUGAUGGCUGGACAUCACAAAAAAGCAAAUGUCUGUACUUUAAACCCCACACAUUUCCCUAAAGGUUAAUGGAUCAUUCUAGAAAGAAAAGUUAAGAAAAUUAAAAAACAUAUGAAAUAAACCAAUAUUUUGGGUGUAAUUGUGGCUAGUCGUAUCCUGCUCUCUUGCUCUACAGAUGUUAUGUGGAUAGAUAUGAGUUCAUUUAGAGGCUGGUAAUGGGUUAGCUGGUCGGCCUGUUAUAGAGUUAUUCACCUUACAGGCUCUUUUGUUUGUACGUUUCUGCAAUGCACUGAAUUUUUCUUUUUUAACCCAUGAGCAGGUUGAAAUAAAAGGAUUGGAACACUGAGCCAGCUGUGAUAAUUUGGUCUAGUUCACCCUCUUGAUCAGAUGCAUUUCCUGAACAGUUUUCUGUACAUACACCUGAAGACAGGCUCUGCUGUAUGGAACAUGUUAGCCUCGCUUUUUAUAUCAAAUAAAGUUCCCUCACUUACAGCAGUAACUUCUUUUCUCGCACCGGUUAAAGCCACAGUGUCGAGGCCUCACAUUCGCUUCUAAAUUUGUAUUAAUCUUAUUACUAUUAUUAAUAUUGAUUAUAGGACGGCUGCUUUUGACUCUCUUGUAGCUUGACAACAGCAUUGUAGAGUUAUGUUAAGUGUCAUUGAGCUUCAUAAUUUUUAACUGGAGGUUUUUGUGAGGCCCCCAGAGAAAUUAUUCAUGAUUUUUGGAUAAGUUAAGAGACACCUCCGAUUUGUUGGCACACCCUUACAUCUCAAAAAAGCUUCUCAGAUAGCUGUUGGGGUUUUAAAUCUAUGGAGUACAAAUUGUGCCAUCAAAAUAUAUAUGAACUUUUACAGUGUUUCAUCAAAAGAUCCAAUAUAUAUCACUUCCUCCUGAGGUUUAAUGACUGGGAGAUAAGUUUAAAACAUGUUUUGGUGAAGAAUAAUAACUUUCACGCCUAAUUAGAUUUAAAAUAAAUUGAGCAAAUUGAUACCUUUUUUCAAGUAUGAAAUUUAAAUUUAAAACUGGAUUUGUAAAAGCUUUUGAAAAUGUGUCAAUUCAUUAAUGUUUUAUAAUUGAACUACUGCGAUUUUAUUUUGGCACAAUUUACCCUCCGUACAAAUCUUAGCAGUGACCUGAGCGGACACUGAGAGCAGGGGUUUGUGAAACUAAAUGAUGGGGUGCAGUGUUGAAAUAAGAGUGUAGCUGGGAUUUAAGGAUGCGGUUUGGGUUUGGCGUGAUUAUUAUAGAGCUGUUUGUCACUGUUUUUGUUUCUUUUGACUGCCAUGAAGCGCAUGUCGUAGUGUAAGCUGGAAACAGAUUCUCACCCUUAUAUAGGCUGUAUCAUAUUCUUGACCCUGACUUUUGUUUAAUAUGAUUAUUACUUGUGACUGUUUAAAUGGUGUUUUGGAACUCAGUAAAAACCAUAGUCAUGUUAGCACUACUGCUCUUCAUAUUGUUUUAAGGGAUGAAUAUAUAGAAGGAAAGGACCAGUAUGUUCGUGUUGCUGUCCUUUUCAUUACUCCCUAAAAUAGGUUUGCACGGAGUAAAUGUCCCCUGAAUACUGAAUAGCCAACAGCCUCUCAAUGCAGUAACACCUACUGUGUCUGCCUGUGUACUGAAUGUUUUCUCUGGAACAUUCCCCCCCCCAGCAUGCCCUCCACUGUGCGUCGUCUCACUGUGAUCGCCUCACAGAUGUCUCCGUUGACCUCUUGUGCAUGCCGUCUCAUUUAGACUAUGGGCGUUGGAGCCAAAAUAUGCAACGUUUCUGUUGGAGAUGCUAGCUGUUAGCCCCCUCUUGGGCUUGGGCAGGUUACGGCCCUGGUGCUGUAAACUUGUCCUAAGCUAAGUAAGCAGCAUCUGUAAAGGUGCUGAAGAAGCAGACAGAAAGAGAUCAGGCCUGAGGACUGACACUAAUGAUGUUAAUAUGCAUCCUGUUAAUUUAUUUGACCGUGUAGAAGUUGCAUAUUGUAGCUUUAAGUUGUUAUUUUCAGCCAAGAGCUAAAAGCUGCUGAAUUUGUAUUGGAUUGACUUUGAUUCAGUUUAUUUAAAGGAGCAGUAUAACCAAAUUACGAAAGAAUAAAUCACUGCAGGUCACCAAGAAUUCAGAGAACCAAGGUUACUCUUGUAUUCGCUAGUUUUUGUAUAUCUGACCCCCAUCUCAAUACCAUGAAAAUGGAGAUGUCCUUUGGGGACUAUUUCUUCUGAAAGUUCCAAGAAAACUUCAGUGAGCAGCAAAUUCUAUUAACGUACUGUGGUGGCAAAAAUCUCAAGGAUACUGAAUAAAUCUGAACUAUUUUGGUUAGGCUGUUCCUUUAAAUGUAGAAGCAGCUUCCUGUCAGUGUGACCCCAGAAGUGCGGCGCUAUGAGAGGUCAAGCUUUCCGUAUGCACCUUUAACUGUAGAGCAGGAGACGCCAUGCUCCCUGUGUUAGCGCGCUACCAAGGCUAACAGAUCACUUCUUUAAGACACAUAGUUGGCUUAUUUCUUUAGAGUGUAAUAUAUAACAUGAAUACAAGUUGUUCCCUAACAGCAUGUUGCUUUUCUCCUCUUCCUGUUUGUCCCCGUGUUUUCAUCAGGUAUGGGCGUGUGUGGCAGGAGUGUGUUUGACUUUUUUUGUCUCUGGAGAGUCUUGUUUUGCUUCUGACUCUAUACUGGUUUCUAGACGUUGUUCACUAACAUCAGCUUUGUUUUGUAUUAGCUAUGACUUUGGUUCCGAUUUUUUGAAGCUUUGGGAAAGAUGUUGCCGGAAUAAAAAGAAGAAAACUGUUUAAAAAAAAGUUUGUGGUCUCUGUACUGAUGUCAAAGUGAAAUGAAUAAAAACACGUCAAAGGA